CUGUAACCGGGGAUGUCAUUAUCAGAAUGAAGCUUGGCUUCUCCACUACCACUGUGUUACCCCUUUAAAUAUGUAUAGGCCACAUUCAUCAUCAUUAUCAUCAUCGUUCCAGUACUUAACAUCAGUGAUGUUAUUAUACAUGCCAGCUGUCCGAACUAAAUGCCGAGAAGUGUUGAAAACCAAGAGAGGGUGUGGCGGAAACCAGGCACACUUUAUUUGUCUAGACAGGCACUGUUCACGCUAGAGAGUUGUUGCAUAAAGCGAGGCGGCUAUAAUAAAGCGCGUAGCAAUAGGUGCCACCAAGUGGCUUCACUUCGGCGCAAGAGGAUUAAACUUUUUGUUGUUCUUGUUGUUGGUAACUUCCUUGAAUGUGACCUUCUUGUGGUCUCUAUUUUUCCUAUACUAUUCUGGCCGCUAUCUCACAUGUGCUUCUAAUGGCAUUGCUAACAAAUGUAGAUGCAAAUGUUUUUCAUGUUUAUUUUUAAUAUUUUUUUACUACUACUAUGCCUACUACUUGUUUUACCCCUCCUUUCACCUACUCCUUUUUUGACCCCCCAUACAGGGUACGCGCAGCUGUUUAGAAUCAUCUCUAUGAUGAUCAUCGUCACCAUCCUUCUUGUGGGUAUGGUAGAGUCCAGGAACACACGAUUGCACGCUGGUGGCAUACGCGCACGGAUCUCGGCUGUUGGCCUUCAUGAACGACACCGGGGAUGGUUCCCAACAAGCUAACGGCACGCCACGCGCGACAGAUGCAUGCGUCAUGCGCCAGACAGGCCACGAAACCAGCGAGACCGAUUGCACUUCUGCAGCUCGCCUGCUCGGCGCCCCGGCUCUUUUGGAUGUGGCGUGUUUGUUGGGUUCAUGGCGUAUUCUUGGGUUCCUUCUGUACUUCGAUACGCAACCACUGCACCAUUGGACUUCGGCAAGGAGGAGCACGCGACUGAAACGUCGAACAUCUUGACGACGUCCCGACGCCUUACAAGUUGGCAGUGCAGCAAGAUGGUGGCCAGUCAUACAGAAGAAUUUCAAAGUGGACAAGACGUAUGAGCGACAAGUAAUAAAGAAUGAAAGCAACAAAACGUCAGAUGAUUACAGAAGGAAAAACGGCUAUACAAUAAUCAACAACGUGAACAACAGCGGUGAACAAGGACAUAAAAAAGAUGAACGCAUAUUCUAGUCAAAAUAAAUAAGGUGGAAAAAUCGUAUUAUAGCAGUUUUUUUACAUGAAGGAUCAAAAUCUUGUGGGU